rnacentral:rRNA from 1 species
GACGAACGCUGGCGGCGUGCUUAACACAUGCAAGUCGAACGAAGUGGCGAACGGGUGAGUAACGCGUAAUCAACCUGCCCUUCAGAGGGGGACAACAGUUGGAAACGACUGCUAAUACCGCAUACUGAAGGAGGGGAUUGCGUCUGAUUAGGUAGUUGGAGGGGGAAAGGCCCACCAAGGCGAUGAUCAGUAGGCGGGCUGGGAGGGAGAACGGGCAACAUGGGACUUGGACACGGCUCAGGCUCCUACGGGAGGGAGCAGUGGGGAAACUUCCGCAAUGGACGGAAGUCUGACGGCGCAACGCCGCGUGGGUGGUGACGGCCUUCGGGUUGGAAAACUCUGUUAAUCGGGACGCGGUACCGGAAUAGAAAGCCACGGCUAACUACGUGCCAGCAGCCGCGGUAAUUC